UACGUAGGGGGCGAGCGUUGUCCGGAGUUACUGGGCGUAAAGCGUCCGCAGGCGGUUCUGCGCGUGGUCGGUGCCAGCCCGUUGCUUAACGACGGGAGUGCCGGGCAAACGGCAGGACUCGAGGGCCUCAGAGGGACAUAGAAUUCCGGGUGGAGUGGUGAAAUGCGUAGAGAUCCGGAGGAAUACCAAUGGCGCAGGCAGUGUCCUGGGAGGCAACUGACGCUGAGGGACGAAAGCCAGGGGAGCGAACGGG
rnacentral:rRNA from 1 species